AACGAGAAUCACUGGAAGGAGUUUUCGGACAACGGAAGGUGAGGACAGUGGCGGACGGGUGAGUAACGCGUGAGGAACCUGCCUUUCAGAGGGGGACAACAGUUGGAAACGACUGCUAAUACCGCAUGACACAUAGAGAUCGCAUGGUUUUUAUGUCAAAGAUUUAUCGCUGAAAGAUGGCCUCGCGUCUGAUUAGCUAGUUGGUGAGGUAACGGCCCACCAAGGCGACGAUCAGUAGCCGGACUGAGAGGUUGACCGGCCACAUUGGGACUGAGAUACGGCCCAGACUCCUACGGGGGGCAGCAGUGGGGAAUAUUGGGCAAUGGGCGCAAGCCUGACCCAGCAACGCCGCGUGAAGGAAGAAGGCUUUCGGGUUGUAAACUUCUUUUGUCGGGGACGAGUAGAAGACGGUACCUGGCGAAUAAGCCACGGCUAACUACGUGCCAGCAGCCGCGGUAAUACGUAGGUGGCAAGCGUUGUCCGGAUUUACUGGGUGUAAAGGGCGUGUAGCCGGGAAGGCAAGUCAGAUGUGAAAUCCACGGGCUUAACUCGUGAACUGCAUUUGAAACUACUUUUCUUGAGUAUCGGAGAGGC
rnacentral:rRNA from 1 species